rnacentral:rRNA from 1 species
CCUACGGGUGGCUGCAGUAGGGAAUUUUGCGCAAUGGGCGAAAGCCUGACGCAGCAACGCCGCGUGAUCGAGACGCCCUUCGGGGUGUGAAGAUCUGUCAGUGGGGACGAAACUUGACGGUACCCACAGAGGAAUCACCGGCUAACUCCGUGCCAGCAGCCGCGGUAAUACGGGGGGUGCAAGCUUUGUCCGGAAUCAUUGGGCGUAAAGAGUUCGUAGGCGGAAUGUAAAGUCUGGUGUUAAAGGCAGAGGCUCAACUUCUGUAGUGCAGUGGAUACUUGCGAGCUAGAAUGCGGUAGAGGUAAAGGGAAUUCCUGGUGUAGCGGUGAAAUGCUUAGAUAUCAGGAGGAACACCGGUGGCGUAAGCGCUUUACUGGGCCGUAAUUGACGCUGAGGCACGAAAUCCAGGGUAGCAAAUGGGAUUAGAUACCCGUGUAGUC